rnacentral:lncRNA from 1 species
GGGACCCGGAAGUGGGGGGCUGCGGCGGGAGGUGAGGGCCGCCUGCCUGGCCGGACCCCAGGGGUGUCGGACGGUGGGCAGGGCCUCCUGGGAUCCCUGAGGCGCCGGCAGGAGGAGACGCCCUGGGGUCGGUGCCGCCACCUUCCCGUCCGGGCGGUUACAGCUUUCCCGCGUUCGCUGUCAGAGGCAGGGACCGGCGACCUCGGGGGCCUGGUCCCUGAGCCACAGCAGGGAGUCGUCCGAGCAUCUCGGGAUGAGGAAGUGUGCAAACAUUUGCAGUCCCUCUGCUGAUGAUCCUGGGUUUGGUUUGGCUGGGCUUGAGCAAAUGAGAAGGAACCAGGACGGAGCCUGUGACUGACUACAGCAGGAGAGCAGGCGUGGCAUGGAUCCCGUGCAAGCCGGCAGUGGAGACCCAGCGCCUGAGAGUGACGUGGGGAACUAGCAGGAGCUAGAAGUGACUUAGGCCGAGCUUUUGUAAAGCGGAGGUGUGAGUGUAAUAUCAGGAUGAUUUGACUGCAAGCAACAGAGAAUCAAACAGAAAUGGCCUAGGGAGUCCCUUCGUGGCUCCCCAGUUAACAAUCUGACUGGAUCAUGAGGAUGCAGGUUCAAUCCCCGGCCUCUAUCAGUGGGCGAAGGAUCUAGUGCUACCAUGAGCUGUGCUGUGGUGUAGGCUGGCGGCCGCAGCUCCAGUUGGACCCCUAGCCCGGGAACUUCCAUAUGCUGUGGGUGCAGCCCUAAAAAGCAAAAACAAACAAAAAAAAUGAAACAAAACAAAACAAAAAAUCCACAAAAAAAAUCAGAAAUGGCCUAAACAAAGAAGAAAACAUGUUAUCCCAUACUACAAGAAGUUUGGGGGUUGAGUGGUUAAACGCAUGAUUAGUUUAGAAACUUGACAGCACCACCCAGGACCCAUUUUCCCUAAGGCGCUGCUGCCCCCCACCCUGUAGGCUUAGCCACCGCAGCAAAGACACCCCCCUUCCCCAACCAGAGCCCUGCGUCAGGACUGGAAAGGGCCUCCUUCCUUCCAUCCCCUUCCAGAACCUCCGCAGAAGACUCCCCUUGACGUCUCAUUCCAUCCCAUACUGGUCACUUGGCAGGGGGAACGGAUUUACCACGGUGGCCAGAGACAAAUUAAGUCGCCUCUGGAUCAUGAAGAGCCCCCAUCUCUGGAGAACACUUGACCACUCAGUACCCAGCAACUCGGGUACCCCUGGCAAGAAAGAGACAGGUGAUACCCACUGGGUCCUGUCCACAGCGCCUGCCCCCAGCAACCUGUCUACCUGGAAAACUGAGGGGGUGCCACGCGGGUCUGUGUCUUCUCUGUAGUUUGCCCGAGUCUUUCCCAUUAGGUAAGUGUCGCCCUUUUCCCUCUUUGCGGCUUUCCUCCUUGGCACGUCACCCAGGUUUUGUUCAGCCACAAGGGGCGAUAGGCUGAAAGAGGAAUCUCCAGGCCUAGGUGAUGGGCCAGCCGUGGUGAUCCUCACCCGUUUGCCUGGGCACCGUUUGGGAAACGUCCCCCUGCUCACCACGGAGAUGAAAGACCAGGUCCCUGGAGGGGCUUCGCGGAAGGAUUUUUCUCCCCAGUAAAGCGGCAGACCAGCCAAGGGUCCGCCGCCCUACGCGCCGUCUGCCUCUGAGCCGCCGCCAGCUCACACCCUUGAGCAGAAACGUUGCAGGGAGGCAGAAAGGGCCGAGUCUCAUGGAUUGUGCUGAGCGUUGCAUCCACCCAGGACUGCUUACCUUCAGACUUCUGCUCCGGUGGCAGAGCAGCAAACCCCUAUUGUGUAAGCCUUUGUAGAUGGCUGGUGCCACUUGCUGCUGAAAGUGACAGAUAAUCUUUCUAGGAAUAUAACCCCUAAAGCCCUUUAUGGUAACAGAUGCACUUAGAGAAUGUAGUUUUCUUUCUUUUUCUUACUUAAAAAAAAAAAAAGCUGAAGUCUGCCUCAGGCAAAAAGACAAACUGAAAACAUAUGUAUGCAUAAUUGAAGUGCAAUCAAUAUUCAUUAGAAAAUGAACGAAUGUUCUUCAGGUUACUUUAAUAGUUUUCUCAGGGAAUCUGUUUUUGGAUACGUAUGUCAGCUACAAUAUUUGGCACUUCCAGGAGCUCUGUGUUGAUGUCCUUCCUAGAAGUUGCACUUCUGCGCAUUUUUCUGCGCCUUUGGGGUCUCAGAUGUUCCUGGAAGGAAUCACUUUUCACUCCCCUGGCUUUUCCCUCGAACAGGUAACUUGUAACUUGCUGUUGCCUAUAGAUAUCGAGCAUUUGUCCAAAAAUAUGUUCCUAC